CUCAAAGUAAAGAGAAAAAGGUUACUUGGCCCACAUUUAUUACUCCUAUACAGGUUAAUAGAUUUCAAAAGAAAUUAUCAUAAUUAAGUACAUAUAUACAAUUUUAGGAUUUUGGGUCAAUAAUCCCAGAAGGGAGAAAACGGAAAAGGGAUAGGAAAUAAAACUGAGACUAUUGAACUUUUAGCAUGAAUUAGAGAACUGAAUUGCUUCAGUUCUAAGUAAGAAAAGGUCGGGGAAUUGGCCAGACACUCAACAAACAUGGAUAAAUAGGUAUGUAUAUAUAAAGAUUCUAUACAUCACAUAAAAGGGGAAAAAAUCCAAAUUAAAAAGUGUCGGAUUCUAAAGCCAUGUAAUACACCCAAAAUACCACCAAUCAAAAGACCCACAAUUCAAUAGAAUCGAAAAACACAAGCGGCCAUCAUGAUGAGAAAUCAUUCACCAAAACAAUAACAAAGGUAAUUUUCUACUAUUUAUAAAAGCAAAAGAAAACCAACUUUUUUUUUUUUUUUUUUUU
rnacentral:misc_RNA from 1 species